rnacentral:rRNA from 1 species
GACGAACGCUGGCGGCGUGCCUAAUACAUGCAAGUCGAGCGAACAGACGAGGAGUUUGCGCCUCUGUCGUUAGCGGAGGACGGGUGAGUAACACGUGUAUAACCUACCUAUAAGACUGGGAUAACCACGGGAAACCGGAGCUAAUACCGGAUAAGAUGCUGAACCGCAUGGGUCAACGGUGAAUGACGGUCUUGCGGGCACUUAUAGAGGGAUCCGCGCCGCUUUAGCUAGUUGGUAAGUUAACGGCCUACCAAGGCAACCAUGCGUGGCCGACCUCAGAGGGUGAUAGGCCACACUGGAACUUGGACACGCUCCAUACUCCUGCGGUAGGCCGCAGUAGGCAACGUUACGCAAUAGGCGAGAGCCUGACGGAGCGAGGCCAAGUCAGUGAAGAAAAUCCUGGGAUCGUAAAACUCUGUUAUUAGGGAAGAACAGAUGUGUAAGGUGCUAUACCCGUCUUGACGGUAACUAAUCAAAAAGCACCGGCUAACUACGUG